GACGGAACGCUCCAAACUUCCCAUAUAACUCUAAACAUUUUCACGAAUCACGAUAAUUAUGCUUAUUCAAUAAGAACUUAAGAGCAGACUUUGAAAAAGACUUUGAAGAAUUUUGUAGAUUGAACGAACGAAACACCGAAAAUAAGAAUCCUCGAUGACAUCGUGACCUCAAUACGUGAAAAAAAUGAGUUCGAAAGUUGCCAAAUUAGAUCUUUGGAAAACGGUGUAAAUAUUUAUGAUCUUGAUACGAUUUUUUAUCGAAUUAUUCGCUAAGUUGAUGCAUAUUUAUUGAUAAACGGAUUGUGGCUGCUGAUGGAGAACACUUUUCAUGUGCCAUCGAUUCAAUGCUUCUCGAGAGGAAAAAUAAGAAUUCGAGAAUACCAGAUUCGCGCGAAGGAGAAUCGACCUUCAAAUGAAAAUCAUCGUUUAUCGAUUGUUUCGGUGCGAGGACAUUUUUCAAAACUGUUGCUCCGUCAUGAGACUAUAAAACUUUUCAAAAAUAUUUCGUGUGAACAAAGUGUCGACGUCCCGGUAUUGAACGAGUGUCAAAUAAGUUUGAUCUGUUUUGCGAUAUUGUCUUCAUCGAUCCUCAGCUUACGAUUUGAAGAAAUCCUCUUUGCGACCUCUCGCGACCUCCUUAAAGAUCUCGCAUUACGCAUCUUGCUUUUCAUGCAAAACACUCUCGUCUUCUCUGAUUGUGGCUGAGACACCGAAAAAUUCGUACAUGAACGUCGUCGGAAGUUUCAAUGUCGAUGGCAUUGAUCCAGAUUGGACGUGCUCGUUGAGCAAUAAGAUUUUCUUUGGCAUCCGUCUUUGCCAGCAGACGGUCCAUCGAGUAUUUCGAUCAACAUAAAUCAUCGAUGUAUUUGCAAAAGAAAAGAUAGAUAAGAAACAGACUUUCUCGAUCCUCGAAAAACCUCGAUCAACGACGAUACAAUAGAGAAUUAACAAAUGACGAUUCAACUUUAUAACAAAACCAUUUUCACUGUCAUUGCUCACGCUACUCUUCGCGUGCGUGUCAAAUAAACUUUACAUAGUAAUUCGUUUUCUUUCCCGCGAUUCCCGUACACCCAACAAUUUCUUUUAUUUUAAUACACAAAAAAUAAUGUUAUUAUUCCAAUUUCUUUCCUUGCUCUUCGCUUCGUUUCGUCCCACCUCGCUCCGGCAUUUAUUCCCACGAAAAUGUCAACCGAAAAUUCCGAUUCAACAAUUUUUUGUACAUAAUUAUGUAUGAAUGAAGAUUUCAUGAAAAAUAA